rnacentral:rRNA from 1 species
GUGUCAGCAGCCGCGCGGUAAUACGUAGGUGGCAAGCGUUAUCCGGAAUUAUUGGGCGUAAAGCGCGCGCAGGUGGUUUCUUAAGUCUGAUGUGAAAGCCCACGGCUCAACCGUGGAGGGUCAUUGGAAACUGGGAGACUUGAGUGCAGAAGAGGAAAGUGGAAUUCCAUGUGUAGCGGUGAAAUGCGUAGAGAUAUGGAGGAACACCAGUGGCGAAGGCGACUUUCUGGUCUGUAACUGACACUGAGGCGCGAAAGCGUGGGGAGUAAACAGGAUUAGAUACCCUGGUAGUCCACGCCGUAAACGAUGAGUGCUAAGUGUUAGAGGGUUUCCGCCCUUUAGUGCUGAAGUUAACGCAUUAAGCACUCCGCCUGGGGAGUACGGCCGCAAGGCUGAAACUCAAAGGAAUUGACGGGGGCCCGCACAAGCGGUGGAGCAUGUGGUUUAAUUCGAAGCAACGCGAAGAACCUUACCAGGUCUUGACAUCCUCUGAAAACCCUAGAGAUAGGGCUUCUCCUUCGGGAGCAGAGUGACAGGUGGUGCAUGGUUGUCGUCAGCUCGUGUCGUGAGAUGUUGGGUUAAGUCCCGCAACGAGCGCAACCCUUGAUCUUAGUUGCCAUCAUUAAGUUGGGCACUCUAAGGUGACUGCCGGUGACAAACCGGAGGAAGGUGGGGAUGACGUCAAAUCAUCAUGCCCCUUAUGACCUGGGCUACACACGUGCUACAAUGGACGGUACAAAGAGCUGCAAGACCGCGAGGUGGAGCUAAUCUCAUAAAACCGUUCUCAGUUCGGAUUGUAGGCUGCAACUCGCCUACAUGAAGCUGGGAAUCGCUAGUAAUCGCGAUCAGCAUGGCCGCGGUGAAUACGUUUCCCGGGCCUUGCACACACCGGCCCGGUCAAAUCCCUUAUGACUAGU